rnacentral:rRNA from 1 species
AUUGAACGCUGGCGGCAGGCCUAACACAUGCAAGUCGAACGAGUGGCGGACGGGAGUGUAAUGUCUGGGAAACUGCCCGAUGGAGGGGGAUAACUACUGGAAACGGUAGCUCAUACCGCAUACCAUCGGAUGUGCCCAGAUGGGAUUAGCUAGUAGGUGGGGUAACGGCGCACCUAGGCGACGAUCCCUAGCUGGUCUGAGAGGAUGACCAGCCACAUGGGAACUGAGCCACGGUCCAGACUCCUACGUGAGGCAGCAGUGGGGAAUAUUGCACAUGGGGCGCAAGCCUGAUGCAGCCAUUCCGGGUGUAUGAAGAAGGCCUGCGGGGUGUAAAGUACUUUCAGCGAGGAGGCGUUACUCGCAGAAGAAGCACCGGCUAACUCCGUGCCAGCAGCCGCGGUAAUAC